GGAGGGAGCUAACGUUGUCCGGGAGUUUACUGGGGCGUAAAGGGGCGCGUAGGCGGCAAGGCAAGUCAGGGUGUGAAAUUCUACUGCUUAACGGGUAUGAAUUGCACUUGAAACUGCCUUACUAGAGCACAGGAGAGGAGAGUGGAAUUCCCAGUGGAGCGGUGGAAUGCGUAGAUAUUGGGAAGAACACCAGUGGCGAAGGCGACUCUCUGGACUGACGCUGACGCUAAUGCGCGAAAGCUAGGGGAGCAAACAGGAUUAGAUACCCUGGUAGUCCUAGCCGUAAACGUUGGAUAUUAGGUGUUGGGAGUUUAAUACUCUCAGCGCCGCAGCUAACGCAAUAAAUAUCCCGCCUGGGGAGUACGGCCGCAAGGUUG
rnacentral:rRNA from 1 species